UCAAGCGUUUGAGUAAAAGUAUCGGUGCAGUGUAAUACAAUAUUUUCAGAAUGUCAAUGAAACUGCAAUAUACGCCCACCAAAACCAAAUCAGAGCAAAAAGAUGAAAGAGAAAUAACGGUGUAGAAAAAUUUUUACAAGUCAAUGAAAUAAUGUGAUUGAUAUUUCAAUUAGGUAUGGAGUAAUCAGAUAUGACUAGCAUGUUUGCCAACCCACCACUUUAAUACCAAGAGAAUUUUUGCAGUACAUUAAUUCAAUUACAUCAUAUUGAAGACGUGCCCAAAAUAUCAAGAACUUGUUUUCAACCUUCACGUAGGCAACACAGAUUACUUUACAUCCUUGAAGACACCACUUAAAAUUAAGACAUUUUUCUUCAUUAGGAGCGUUUACAUAUUCAUUAGUUCUAUAAAUAACAAAAUCUUAAUAAUAGUACUAUAAAACCGGUCAUAACCCGGCACACAGUUAUGUGGAGAAAACUUAAAAAAAAAGAAAAAAAACACAUGCAUACUGAUGCGAUAUUAAAAGGGCUAUUAUUUAGAUAUUAUACGAUCAAUAUCCUGCUUUUAUCACGCAAUCCUUUUUUAUUUUAAGUCAAGACAAAAUAAUUUGAAAGUUUUAACGCCAUCUACCUUAUUUAUUCAUGAUUUUACUMAGACUCGUGUUUAAUAAAUCCUACAGACGGAAAGAAUCGACUGAGACCCAUGUCAAACAGUAAUAAGCUUUCACAUCAGA